GCCAUCUGUAGUGGAGAUGCUGAGUCACAGCCUGAAGCAGUGAUUGAGCACCUGGUGGGAAGGCAGGGCCAACCCAGGGUAGCUCAGGUGUAUGCAAUGAACCUGAGUGACCUGAAGGGAUGGAGCCAGGAUCCACCCCUUCCCAGACCUCAUUUAAGGGUUGGCAGUGGAGAUGAGAGCAUCUCAUGCUGGAGAUCCCUGCCUAUCUGUGGUCUUCUGAAGGGUUUGAUGGUUGGAAAGCAAUCUGGGAUCAGCAGAUGUCAGCAGCAUGGGGAAAAAUGCGACCAUGCAAAUGAAUGGUUGGCAGUCCUCGGUGAGUGCCAAGCCCAGCUGUGUGCCAGGAGGGAAGGCAGCCAUCCCGCACUGAAAGCAUUUCAAAGAGAGGACGGAGAUGGUGCCAGGAGAGGCAGCCACAUGGAGAGAGCAACCGUGUAGGUUUCGGUGGUUCAUCCAGCUCUCAAGCCCUGGCUUCUAUGGUCAUACCCAUAAGAUCUGAAGACCUAGGGCAAGGCAUUACUGCUGCCAGCUUUAACUCAAAAGGAGUGAGAGGAG
rnacentral:lncRNA from 1 species